rnacentral:misc_RNA from 1 species
AAAUCCUCAAAUCACAUUGAUUCUUUCGAUGUGGCUUGGAAGUGGGGGUAUAAUGCAGGCUUUACCUAAAAAUGAAGUCUGCUCCCCUGAAAUGCAUUAGUGGUAUCUGAGCAGAAGAACUACUACAGGUGUGAUAACUUAUCUACGCCUUGGUAAUGCUGCAUAAACAGAUUGCGCUGCUUAUAACAAAUUUAAAUUUCUUU